GGUCAAGUUAUUAAGAGCAUAGGGUGAAUGCCUUGGCACCAGGAGCCGAAGAAGGACGGGAUAAGCGCCGAAACGCUACGGGGAGUCGCAAGUAGACAUUGAUCCGUAGAUAUCCGAAUGGGGAAACCCACCUAAGGUAAACCUUAGGUAUCACUUACUAAAUACAUAGGUAAGUGAAGGUAAACCAGGGGAACUGAAACAUCUAAGUACCCUGAGGAAGAGAAAGAAACAUCGAUUUCCUAAGUAGCGGCGAGCGAAAGGGAAAGAGCCCAAACCUGUAAAAGCAAUUUUACAGGGGUUGAGGACAUAGCAUAAAAGGAGAGGCUAUUGUAGUCGAAGAGAGUUGGAAAGCUCCACCA
rnacentral:ncRNA from 1 species